AACGAACGCUGGCGGCAUGCCUAACACAUGCAAGUCGAACGAGACCUUCGGGUCUAGUGGCGCACGGGUGCGUAACGCGUGGGAACCUGCCCUUAGGUUCGGAAUAACUCCCCGAAAGGGGUGCUAAUACCGGAUAAUGUCUUCGGACCAAAGAUUUAUCGCCUUUGGAUGGGCCCGCGUUGGAUUAGCUAGUUGGUAGAGUAAAAGCCUACCAAGGCGACGAUCCAUAGCUGGUCUGAGAGGAUGAUCAGCCACACUGGGACUGAGACACGGCCCAGACUCCUACGGGAGGCAGCAGUGGGGAAUAUUGGACAAUGGGCGAAAGCCUGAUCCAGCAAUGCCGCGUGAGUGAUGAAGGCCUUAGGGUUGUAAAGCUCUUUUACCCGGGAUGAUAAUGACAGUACCGGGAGAAUAAGCACCGGCUAACUCCGUG
rnacentral:rRNA from 1 species